UUUCAUAAUAAAUGCUUACAUUUGGCAAAAUUACAAAGAAUUUUAAACAGCAUCAUAGCUAUAUUAGAAGCUUCUUUGUAACAGGAUCCCAUCACAGGCAUUAGGAAAGUGUGUUAUUUGCAUUGUUUUCCUAUUUCAGGUGCAUUCUUUU
rnacentral:misc_RNA from 1 species